rnacentral:rRNA from 1 species
AACGAACGCUUGCUGCAUGCUUUAUACAUGCAAGUCGAACGAAGGCCCUAGCUUGCUAGGUGUCCUUAGUGGCGCACGGGUGAGUAACACGUGGGAACAUACCUCAUAGUACGGAAUAACUGCGGGAAACUGUAGCUAAUACCGUAUAUUCCAGAAAUGGGAAAGAUUUAUCGCUAUGAGAUUGGCCCGCGCAAGAUUAGCUUGUUGGUAAGGUAAUGGCUUACCAAGGCUCCGAUCUUUAGCUGGUUUGAGAGGAUGAUCAGCCACACUGGGACUGAGACACGGCCCAGACUCCUACGGGAGGCAGCAGUAGGGAAUAUUGGACAAUGGGGGAAACCCUGAUCCAGCAAUGCAGCGUGAGUGACGAAGGCCUUAGGGUUGUAAAACUCUUCCAUCGGUGAGGAUAAUGACAGUAGCCGAAGAAGAAGGACCGGCUAAUUCCGUGCCAGCAGCCGCGGUAAUACGGAAGGUCCUAGCGUUGUUCGGAAUUACUGGGCGUAAAGCGCAUGUAGGCGGAACAAAAAGUUAGAAGUGAAAUCCCUGGGCUCAACCUAGGAAUGGCUUUUAAAACUUUUGUUCUGGAAUUCAGGAGAGGAAAAUGGAAUUUCCAGUGUAGAGGUGAAAUUCGUAGAUAUUGGAAGGAACACCAGUGGCGAAGGCGAUUUUCUGGACUGAUAUUGACGCUGAGAUGCGAAGGCAUGGGUAGCAAACGGGAUUAGAUACCCCGGUAGUCCAUGCAGUAAACGAUGGGUGCUAGUCGUCGGACUUUUGUUCGGUGUCGUAGCUAACGCGUUAAGCACCCCGCCUGGGGGAGUACGGUCGCAAGAUUAAAACUCAAAUAAAUUGACGGGGACCCGCACAAGCAGUGGAGCAUGUGGUUUAAUUCGACGCAACGCGAAGAACCUUACCAGCGUUUGACAUGGGAAGUGCCGGUUACAGAAUGGUAACCUUCAGUUCGGCUGGC